rnacentral:misc_RNA from 1 species
AACGCAUAUUGCGCUCUCUGGUAUUCCGGAGAGCAUGCCUGUUUGAGUAUCUACUAAUUCUCAACCCCAUUGGGUGUUUGGAUAUGAGUCAAGUCUGUUAGACUGGCUUGAAAUGUAGUGUUGUAAGGGUAAUGUACCACCUCUGGAGGAACAGUAAUUGAAUGAGUGAUACUCAGCCUUUUCUUAGUACUUUAUAGGUAGAGCAGAGCCGCGCCUUUGGGAGCUUUCAGCAAAAAUGUAGAGCUUGCUCUGAACCUUGGUCUCAAAUCAGGUAGGAAGACCCGCUGAACUUAA